rnacentral:rRNA from 1 species
CAGUCGCCACGGGAAUACGAAGGGUGCAAGCGUUAAUCGGAAUUACUGGGCGUAAAGCGUGCGUAGGCGGUGAGUUAAGUCUGCUGUGAAAUCCCCGGGCUCAACCUGGGAAUGGCAGUGGAUACUGGCUCGCUAGAGUGUGUCAGAGGAUGGUGGAAUUCCCGGUGUAGCGGUGAAAUGCGUAGAGAUCGGGAGGAACAUCAGUGGCGAAGGCGGCCAUCUGGGACAACACUGACGCUGAGGCACGAAAGCGUGGGGAGCAAACGGGAUUAGAUACCCGCGUAGUCCCUGUCUCUUAUAC